rnacentral:rRNA from 1 species
AACGAACGCUGGCGGCAUGCCUAACACAUGCAAGUCGAACGGAUGGUUUCGGCCAUCAGUGGCGCACGGGUGAGUAACGCGUGGGAAUCUGCCCGGCAGUGGGGGAUAACCUCUGGAAACGGAGGCUAAUACCGCAUACGCCCCUAGGGGGAAAGGCUUGCUGCUGUCGGAGGAGCCCGCGUCGGAUUAGGUAGUUGGUGGGGUAACGGCCUACCAAGCCUGUGAUCCGUAGCUGGUCUGAGAGGAUGAUCAGCCACACUGGGACUGAGACACGGCCCAGACUCCUACGGGAGGCAGCAGUGGGGAAUAUUGGACAAUGGGCGCAAGCCUGAUCCAGCAAUGCCGCGUGAGUGAUGAAGGCCUCGGUUGUAAGACGUCUUUCGUCCCACGACGAUGAUGACGGUAGU